rnacentral:lncRNA from 1 species
CAAGAAAUAACUCUAAAAAUAAAUUUGAAUAAAUAGAGUAUCACAUACAAAAACUUGCAUUUCCUUAAACAGCCCUAGUCAUCCUCACCCUUCAUUCUUUUACAAACAUGUAUAUAUAUAUAUAUAUAUCCGCAAUUAAGCAAAUUAUUGAGUCAUAAUUCCUAUCCUAUACAAGGUGCACAUGACUGACCCUCAUUACAAUUCAAAACUGCAAAGCAAGAGCAAUUAUUAUUAUGCUUCCGCCAAAUUGGAGUAACAAAACUGAAACCCUAUACAAUACAGAUUAAGAAAGCAAAGAUAAUUAACCUGGUUUGGCUUGAAACGAGAC